rnacentral:lncRNA from 1 species
CCAAUAGGAUUGAAAACAUACCUCCUGGACCGGUAGACCGCGGGAAUCGAGACGACGACGGCCAAUGGGAGUGCGCGGGGGUGGAGCCCAGGCCUCAGGAGCGGAAGUGGGUCGCUGUGGAGGCGGCGGCGUCUUGCUCGAGGAUUUCUCCUCGGUGGCUUCCGGGGGUGCUUCCUCGCCACAGUGCGUCGGCGGCGACUCCUGCCACACCAUAUUCGCUCCCGCUGGCACAGGACUCUGGAAGGGUGUGAACAGCCAGAAAGAAGAGAGGUGGUGGCAUAACAAGUCUGAGCUCAGGCUACGGGACCCGGUGGCCCAGUGCUCUAUAAGAGGGCUUGCUUCCCACGAAAACCUCAAGCAAGCACGACUUCAAGAUACUGGAAAUCUACUUGGCUGCAAAUAG